rnacentral:rRNA from 1 species
GGCCGGUAUGAAUGGCAUCACGAAGGCCCCACUGUCUUAAGAGGACUCUCCAUGAAAUUGAAUUCGUAGUGAAGAUGCUACGUCCAUAUUGUAAGACGAAAAGACCCCAUUGAGCUUUACUAAAGACUUGUAUGGCUCGAAAUGACUUAAAUAAAAAGUUUAGAUAAUGUGGGAUCCGUUUUUGGUUAAUGAAACACCACUCUUUUAUUUUAAGAGAGCUAACCUUGUAGGGAGAAUGCAAGUUGGAUAGUUUGGUUGGGGCGACCACCUUUUAAAAGGUAACGAAGGUGAGCUUAAGGUCCGUAGUUAAUAGCUAGUGGCCUGACUGCAAGGGGGACAUCCCGAGCAGACACUGGUAAUCUCUCAGUGGGUUAUAGUGACCCGUCAUCUUAGAGUGGAAUAGUUGACGAUCAACGAAUAAAA